CAAGGAGAUGGGAAAACGCGGAGUUUCGACGAUUCGAACAGGGAUCUGUUGGUAUCGAGGUGGAAAGCGAAAAAGUUAUGUCGUGGCGGCGACGGAACGCGAUGCAGGGAAAGAGCAUUGCCGGAACUCAACAGGUUUCUAAUGCUGGCGAGGUUUGAAAAUCGGUAUUCGUUAGAACAGACGGCAGGAAGGAAGGACGAGUGGAACAGGUGCAAGAGAAAAUGGGUUUAAGGUAUCCGUUACAAAGCUCAGCGAGAGUCGACUGUUUGCGAGCCUCGAGUCGCAUCAAGACUGUAUUCUUCGUCGAGGAAAAUUUACGAAUGCUAAGAGCGCGGGUGGUGGCAGGGCGUGAGCGAGCGUAACGAGUUCCUUGGCGCAGGUCUGAUUUAUGCCAGGUCGUAAGGAAAGAAAACGACUCCUCACCUGCCGAGAGCUAUUCGCCGACCGACGGUGUUCCAAUCUAACGACGACCUGUCUUUCUUCUUUCCUUCGCUCUGUGUUUUCCAAGCGAUGUACGUUCGAUCUCGACUGGCCGAUUCUUUUUUCGUUGUCCGUGUGGCGUAGCUACGGUACAAUGACUGUCGUGUUCAUGGCGAGAAGCAUCAAGAAGCAUCGUGAAGCAUCGUGAAGCAUCGCGAAGCAUCGAGAAUCAUCGAACGGGGAAAAUCGUACUCUCGGUUGGAUAUUUCGGAGAGCCGUAACCCGUCACCGACUACACAGGUGUCGUUGGACCGCUCGAGAUAAUAAUGCCGGUAUAACCGUACAACUGUUCGAUGACCCAGGUGGUAGAGGAAUUGUAUAGAAUGACACCGAUACUCCAAAUACGGCCGACGACCAACAGAGUCAUUGUUCACGCUGUAACCGAUACCCUCAGCUUCUGAGAACGGAUCGAUCUUCUCUACCUGUACUUACUUCUGUCCGCGUAAUUGCCUGGCCUUUGCCCGCAUCUUCGUCUUUGUAUCCCGACGCGCCCACGUGAUGCUCGGCAUUCUUCGUCUCACGCUAUUCGUUCGUCGAUUCGCCUCGUCCGUUUUUGGCAAACGACAACGUGGAAAGACACAGCGGUCGAAACUGCAGGGGAGCGCGCGCAAACAAUCGUCUUUAUCGUCGUAACUAUGAAACGAGAUAUUGUUUCAGAUUCUGUCGCUAACCGUAGCUCGUCUCUGCUCGAACGUUUUUUUCGGAAUAUCGGAGAUCGAUGCAGGAUUUAAUAACAAUCAUAAUGGUAAUACGUUUUGUUUAUGAAAACAUAGUAAAUAUCACGUUAUCAUACAUUUGAGUUGAAAUUGUAGUUUUAUUUUUCAAUUAUUUCGUUAAGGAACAGUCUUUUCGUCUAGCGAAACGAAUUCCUGCGGAUGAUCGAUGGUGAUUACGUUGCUUUGUUUUCGUACUUGCUUCUUCUCGGGAUUGUUCCACGGUUGUAACUGACCGCUACCAAAAAUGGUAAACGUAAGUGCGCCAAGACAAUAAAUCCA